AAAAAGGUCAUGAUCAAGAACCAGUAGCAGUGUGCAAUCCUUUAGAGAGCCUUCGGUUGGUGAAAGAAGGCGGAUAAAAAUGCUGUGAAUUCAUCUUGGGAGCUGUACACUCAAAGGCGCUGGCCCUGUAGGUGUUUUCGGGAUUCGCCCGUUAUAGUGUGGGAACAAGACAGUUUGUUCGCUGAGGUUGUGGAAACAAUGAAACAAGGUGGUACCGCGAAGCUAAUUCGCCCCUGUA
rnacentral:ncRNA from 1 species